rnacentral:rRNA from 1 species
GACGAACGCUGGCGGCGUGCUUAACACAUGCAAGUCGAACGGAAAGGCCCGGCGUUUGUGGGGUGCUCGAGUGGCGAACGGGUGAGUAACACGUGAGUAACCUGCCCUUGACUUUGGGAUAACUUCAGGAAACUGGGGCUAAUACCGGAUAGGAGCUCCUGCUGCAUGGGGGGGGUUGGAAAGUUUCGGCGGUUGGGGAUGGACUCGCUGGUUAUCAGCUUGUUGGUGGGGUAGUGGCGUACCAAGGUUUCGACGGGUAGCCGGCCUGAGAGGGUGACCGGCCACAUUGGGACUGAGAUACGGACCAGACUCCUACGGGAGGCAGCAGUGGGGAAUAUUGCACAAUGGGCGGAAGCCUGAUGCAGCAACGCCGCGUGCGGGAUGACGGCCUUCGGGUUGUAAACCGCUUUCGACUGUGACGAAGCGUGAGUGACGGUAAUGGGUAAAGAAGCCCCGGCUAACUACGUG